rnacentral:tRNA from 1 species
GUGGAUGUGUGGUUUAGAUGGUGAGCAACUGACUUGUAAUCAGUAGGUCCCGGGUUCGACUCCUGGUGUCGGCACCA